UACGUAGGUGACCAGCGUUGUCCGGAUUUACUGGGCGUAAAGAGCGCGCAGGCGGUCGUUCAAGUCGAGUGUGAAAGCCCCCGGCUCAACUGGGGAGGGUCACUCGAUACUGAUCGACUUGAAGGCAGGAGAGGGAAGCGGAAUUCCCGGUGUAGUGGUGAAAUGCGUAGAUAUCGGGAGGAACACCAGUGGCGAAGGCGGCUUCCUGGCCUGUUCUUGACGCUGAGGCGCGAAAGCUAGGGUACGCAAACGGG
rnacentral:rRNA from 1 species